rfam:Heligmosomoides polygyrus genome assembly, scaffold: HPBE_scaffold0003820
GCGCUGGUGGUGUAAGGCGUAGCAUUGCUGCUUCGCAAGCAGAAGGUGCAAGUUCGAGCCCCGCCUGGCGCU